AUUGAACGCUGGCGGCAGGCCUAACACAUGCAAGUCGAGCGGAUGAAGGGAGCUUGCUCCUGGAUUCAGCGGCGGACGGGUGAGUAAUGCCUAGGAAUCUGCCUGGUAGUGGGGGAUAACGUCCGGUAACGGGCGCUAAUACCGUAUACGUCCUGAGGGUGAAAGUGAGGGAUCUUCGGACCUCACGCUAUCAGAUGAGCCUAGGUCGGAUUAGCUAGUUGGUGGGGUAAAGGCCUACCAAGGCGACGAUCCGUAACUGGUCUGAGAGGAUGAUCAGUCACACUGGAACUGAGACACGGUCCAGACUCCUACGGGAGGCAGCAGUGGGGAAUAUUGGACAAUGGGCGAAAGCCUGAUCCAGCCAUGCCGCGUGUGUGAAGAAGGUCUUCGGAUUGUAAAGCACUUUAAGUUGGGAGGAAGGGCAGUAAGUUAAUACCUUGCUGUUUUGACGUUACCAACAGAAUAAGCACCGGCUAACUUCGUG
rnacentral:rRNA from 1 species